rnacentral:rRNA from 1 species
AUGGCGCAAGGUAGAGGAUCUCAGAGGGAGAAGGGGAAGGAGACAGCGGAAGAUCUACUAGCUCGCCUUACCUUGCAGGAGGAGGAAGAGGAUGAUUUUGUUUGGGAGGAGGAACUCCCGGACUUGAUGGAACCGGCGCAAUGGCUAGCGAUCGCUAGGGUGCACACAUCAAAAACUUUUAGCCCUAAUCUCUAUGGCGAUAUGAGGGCAGCCUGGAACCCGACAAAGGCGGUAGUCUGGAGGAAGAUCAGGGAGAACCUAUUUACAGCGCAGUUUGGGUGCCUUGCAGAUUGGAAGAAAGCUAUGCUAGAUGGUCCAUGGCUGUUUAGGGAUCAGGCUGUGAUUUUGGAGGAAUAUGAUGGGUUCAAAAAACCUGACUCGUUCAAGCUGGAUAAGAUCGAGGUAUGGGCUCAGAUCCAUCGUCUGUCGGACAAAUUUCUUAUUGAACAGGCAGUGAGAGGGUUGGCUUCACGGAUUUGUGAGGUGAUGGAGGUGCAACUAAAGCUGCCGACUGGUUUUUUCGGUGAGUUCAUGAGAGUCAGAGUGAAGAUAGAUGUGAAUGCAAAAAUUAAGAGGUUUGACACUGGAAAGAAAGGUUGA